rnacentral:tRNA from 1 species
GCCGGAGUAGCUCAGUUGGUUAGAGCAGCGGAUUCAUAAGCCGCGGGUCGGGGGUUCAAGUCCCUCCUCCGGUAC